GGGACAACCCGCCGAAAGGCGGGCUAAACCCGCGUACAUGCCACCGGGGCAUCCCGGAGGCAGGAAAGGCUUCGGCCGGACAGGGAUGGGCAUGCGGCGCAUUAGGCAGUAGGCGGGGUAACGGCCCACCUAACCGACGAUGCGUAGGGGUUCUGAGAGGAAGGUCCCCCACACUGGUACUGAGACACGGACCAGACUCCUACGGGAGGCAGCAGUGAGGAAUAUUGGUCAAUGGUCGGGAGACUGAACCAGCCAAGCCGCGUGAGGGAUGAAGGUACAGAGUAUCGUAAACCUCUUUUGUCAGGGAACAAAGGCGGGGACGUGUCCCCGGAUGAGUGUACCUGAAGAAAAAGCAUCGGCUAACUCCGUGCCAGCAGCCGCGGUAAUACGGAGGAUGCGAGCGUUAUCCGGAUUUAUUGGGUUUAAAGGGUGCGCAGGCGGUCUGUUAAGUCAGCGGUCAAAGCCCGGGGCUCAACCCCGGCCCGCCGUUGAAACUGGCAGUCUCGAGUUGGAGAGAAGUAUGCGGAAUGCGCGGUGUAGCGGUGAAAUGCAUAGAUAUCGCGCAGAACUCCGAUUGCGAAGGCAGCAUGCCGGCUCCACACUGACGCUGAGGCACGAAAGCGUGGGUAUCGAACAGGAUUAGAUACCCUGGUAGUCCACGCAGUAAACGAUGAAUG
rnacentral:rRNA from 1 species